rnacentral:rRNA from 1 species
GGGCAGCAGUAGGGAAUUUUCGGCAAUGGGGGAAACCCUGACCGAGCAACGCCGCGUGAAUGACGAAGUACUUCGGUAUGUAAAGUUCUUUUAUCAGGGAAGAAUGGCUCGUGGAAAAGCGAGAUUGACGGUACCUGAUGAAUAAGCCCCGGCUAACUAUGUGCCAGCAGCCGCGGUAAUACAUAGGGGGCAAGCGUUAUCCGGAAUUAUUGGGCGUAAAGGGUGCGUAGGUGGUUAGAUAAGUCUUAGGUGUAAGUGCAGAGCUUAACUCUGUGAUGCUAAAGAAACUGUCUGACUUGAGUGUGGUAGAGGCAAGUGGAAUUCCAUGUGUAGCGGUAAAAUGCGUAAAUAUAUGGAGGAACACCAGUGGCGAAGGCGGCUUGCUGGGCCAUAACUGACACUGAGGCACGAAAGCGUGGGGAGCAAACAGGAUUAGAUACCCGAGUAGUC